GUUUCGAAUUACCCCCCAACUAAGGGGGUUUAGUUCCUCAUACUCACAACACAAAGUUUAUUGAAUUGAAACAUUGAAACAUAAGAAAGAUCACACCUAAAAAUUCCAGCAAUCUAAAUUGCACAGCAGGAACAUCUAAGAACCUUCCUCCUCUUCCUUGGUUGCGGCACAGGGGUUUGUGAUGGUUUUUGGGAGUUAUGGAUGG
rnacentral:lncRNA from 1 species